rnacentral:rRNA from 1 species
UACGUAGGGGGCAAGCGUUGUCCGGAUUUACUGGGCGUAAAGAGCGUGUAGGCGGCCACGCAGGUCCGUUGUGAAAACUGGAGGCUCAACCUCCAGCUGUCGACGGAACCGUGUGGCUAGAGUCCGGAAGAGGAGAGUGGAAUUCCUGGUGUAGCGGUGAAAUGCGCAGAUAUCAGGAAGAACACCAAUGGCGAAGGCAGCUCUCUGGGACGGUACUGACGCUGAGACGCGAAAGCGUGGGGAGCGAACAGG